rfam:Strongylocentrotus purpuratus Contig118057_fixed, whole genome shotgun sequence.
UGCAUGGUGGCUCAGUGGUUAGAGCGCCCGCCUCAUCAACGGGAGGUCGUGGGUUCGAACCCCGGCCGAGUCA